rnacentral:pre_miRNA from 1 species
UUUUGAUUGUUACUAAACUACUGUCCUGUUCAUACGACAGUUUAGAACAAUCGAAGCC